AUGAACGCUAGCUACAGGCUUAACACAUGCAAGUCGAGGGGCAGCAUGGUCUUAGCUUGCUAAGGCCGAUGGCGACCGGCGCACGGGUGAGUAACACGUAUCCAACCUGCCGUCUACUCUUGGACAGCCUUCUGAAAGGAAGAUUAAUACAAGAUGGCAUCAUGAGUCCACAUGUUCACAUGAUUAAAGGUAUUCCGGUAGACGAUGGGGAUGCGUUCCAUUAGAUAGUAGGCGGGGUAACGGCCCACCUAGUCUUCGAUGGAUAGGGGUUCUGAGAGGAAGGUCCCCCACAUUGGAACUGAGACACGGUCCAAACUCCUACGGGAGGCAGCAGUGAGGAAUAUUGGUCAAUGGGCGAGAGCCUGAACCAGCCAAGUAGCGUGAAGGAUGACUGCCCUAUGGGUUGUAAACUUCUUUUAUAAAGGAAUAAAGUCGGGUAUGCAUACCCGUUUGCAUGUACUUUAUGAAUAAGGAUCGGCUAACUCCGUGCCAGCAGCCGCGGUAAUACGGAGGAUCCGAGCGUUAUCCGGAUUUAUUGGGUUUAAAGGGAGCGUAGAUGGAUGUUUAAGUCAGUUGUGAAAGUUUGCGGCUCAACCGUAAAAUUGCAGUUGAUACUGGAUAUCUUGAGUGCAGUUGAGGCAGGCGGAAUUCGUGGUGUAGCGGUGAAAUGCUUAGAUAUCACGAAGAACUCCGAUUGCGAAGGCAGCCUGCUAAGCUGCAACUGACAUUGAGGCUCGAAAGUGUGGGUAUCAAACAGGAUUAGAUACCCUGGUAGUCCACACGGUAAACGAUGAAUACUCGCUGUUUGCGAUAUACAGCAAGCGGCCAAGCGAAAGCGUUAAGUAUUCCACCUGGGGAGUACGCCGGCAACGGUGAAACUCAAAGGAAUUGACGGGGGCCCGCACAAGCGGUGGAGCAUGUGGUUUAAUUCGAAGCAACGCGAAGAACCUUACCAAGUCUUGACAUCCGCCUGACUGAUCCUUAACCGGAUCUUUCCUUCGGGACAGGCGAGACAGGUGGUGCAUGGUUGUCGUCAGCUCGUGUCGUGAGAUGUUGGGUUAAGUCCCGCAACGAGCGCAACCCUUGUCAUUAGUUGCUACGGUAAGAGCACUCUAAUGAGACUGCCGUUGACAAAACGGAGGAAGGUGGGGACGACGUCAAAUCAUCAUGCCCCUUAUGACCUGGGCUACACACGUACUACAAUGGCGUUUAACAAAGAGAAGCAAGACCGCGAGGUGGAGCAAAACUCAAAAACAACGUCUCAGUUCAGAUUGCAGGCUGCAACUCGCCUGCAUGAAGUCGGAAUUGCUAGUAAUCGCGGAUCAGCACGCCGCGGUGAAUACGUUCCCGGGCCUUGUACACACCGCCCGUCACACCACGAGAGUUUGUAACACCCGAAGUCGGUGAGGUAACCUUUUAGGGGCCAGCCGCCUAAGGUGGGAUGGAUGAUUGGGGUG
rnacentral:rRNA from 1 species